rnacentral:rRNA from 1 species
ACGGGAGGCAGCAGUGAGGAAUAUUGGUCAAUGGACGAGAGUCUGAACCAGCCAAGUAGCGUGCAGGAUGACGGCCCUAUGGGUUGUAAACUGCUUUUGUACGGGAAUAAAGUGACCUACGUGUAGGUUUUUGCAUGUACCGUAAGAAUAAGGACCGGCUAAUUCCGUGCCAGCAGCCGCGGUAAUACGGAAGGUCCGGGCGUUAUCCGGAUUUAUUGGGUUUAAAGGGUGCGCAGGCGGCACGUUAAGUCAGCGGUGAAAUGUCGGGGCUCAACCCGGGCACUGCCGUUGAAACUGGCGAGCUUGAGUACGGAUGAAGUCGGCGGAAUGUGAUGUGUAGCGGUGAAAUGCUUAGAUAUGUCACAGAACACCGAUUGCGAAGGCAGCUGACUAAUCCGCAACUGACGCUCAGGCACGAAAGCGUGGGGAUCGAACAGGAUUAGAUACCCUGGUA